rnacentral:tRNA from 1 species
GGGGCUGUAGCUCCAACGGUAGAGCGCUCGCUUUGCAUGUGAGAGGUUUGGGGUUCAAUACCCCAUAUCUCCA